GACAGAGGGGGCAAGCGUUGCUCGGAAUUACUGGGCGUAAAGGGCGCGUAGGCGGCCACUGCAAGUCGGUUGUGAAAUCUCCGGGCUUAACCCGGAAAGGUCAAUCGAUACUGCAGGGCUAGAGUGCAGAAGGGGCAACUGGAAUUCUCGGUGUAGCGGUGAAAUGCGUAGAUAUCGAGAGGAACACCUGCGGCGAAGGCGGGUUGCUGGGCUGACACUGACGCUGAAGCGCGAAAGCUAGGGGAGCGAACGGG
rnacentral:rRNA from 1 species